GAUUCAAAAAUUAAUAAUGCCCGAGGUUGUGAAUGAACGUCAGCCAGAAAAAACUGGUUUGACGCGUCAUCGACUCAAAUCUAAUGAACAAAAUGUCGAAGUACUCUUCAUUUUCCGCGCCUCGUUGUUCUCAUUAUGACGAGAUAAUUGUGUCAUCUCGUCCCAUAGAUUCUGUGCGCGAUGAUAUAGGACUUCUUGAUACUAUCUGAUCAAAUUAUCGGGACUGAUGACCGGCCUUCCUGAUAUUCUGCAUUGCUCUGGAUAUUGUUAUCGGACUGAAGAUGAGCUCCUUGUUUGGCAACCGUCUUAUAACUGUUCCUUAUGAUGGAGCGGUCCGCUCGUUUCGUUCGAAGCUCUAUUGUAGUGAGCAUUUCACCAUCAGCCCUCUAGUUCAGCUCUUGUCCUCUUGGACCGUUGAAAAAGGAUUGAUGACCCCUAGGCGCAGAACUCGAAGCGGCACACGGGAUACCUCAUUCAUAUAGGAUGCAGUAAAUCCUAAAGGUAACCACUCCAACUGUCUGUAUGGCUUCAAACAACCGGGAACUGUGCCUUGAGCUCGCGGUACUAUUAGAUAUCUGGGCGAGGCUUGAGGGGACUCGGACUGAACAAGUCAAUCUCAAAUCUUGGUGAUGAUCACAAGAUCCUUCCGUGACUUCACGGCAUUCGAAGAGGUAGGUGGUGAUCGUACGUCGGUUGCUUAUUGUCUGUCGUCCCAACGGCCACGACGCCGCCAGCUUGUCCAUUCAACCUCUCCCAUUUUCUGGAACGCCUCUCUGAACGAUUGCGGGUCGCCUGGUAGGAAUCGUAGGGCAAAGGAUCGGUACGGAAAGGUAGAUUAAGUGAGUGUUGUGUUUCCUAUGUGCAGCGUCAGUUCUUAUUUUGGUUGUUAAUACAAAGAAAGAAAAAAAAAUAAAAGGACAAGAAAAGAAGAUGAAGAAAAAAUAGAGAGAGAGAGAGAGAGAGAAAAAUAUUAAAGGGAAUCUGAAGGAAAUAUGGCGACCGUGUCUCGUUCUUCGACACAGUAAGACCAUGUUCCUCAACUUAACCUUUCUCCAACCGACGACUCAGACAACGCAACCAUAUGCAGCAUCAGCACUUCUUCACCAUUUUCUGGGUCUGGAGACACACAGACCGGUGGCCAGAGAUCUAACAACAUCGGUGCAACUGUCGGUGUUGUCGUAGCCGGCGUCUUAGCCGGCAUCGUCGGCCUAGUGAUCUGUUUUGUUUCUUGAGGACAUCGAAGAUACCAUACAAGAACUCAAAACUUGACAAUGAUUGGCGUGGAAGAAGUAGAGCGUACUGCGUUCCCUCCGGAAAACAAGAAAUUCGUCGCUGUUGAGAAGCCGGUGGAGGUCUGCGUCGGUUGCCCCGGAAGAGCUUCCGACAGAUCAUACCCAUCACUAAGAACUUAUCAUAGGACGGAG